UACGUAGGUGGCAAGCGUUGUUCGGAAUUAUUGGGCGUAAAGGGCGCGUAGGCGGUUUGUUAAGUCGGCUGUGAAAGCCCGGGGCUCAACCCCGGAGGGUCAGCCGAUACUGGCAGGCUAGAGUACAGAAGAGGUAACUGGAAUUCCCGGUGUAGCGGUGAAAUUCGUAGAUAUUGGGAAGAACACCGGUGGCGAAGGCGGCUCUCUGGACCGAGACUGACGCUGAGGCGCGAAAGCGUGGGGAGCAAACAGG
rnacentral:rRNA from 1 species